rnacentral:snRNA from 1 species
GUGCUCACUUUGGCAGCAAAUAUACUAAAAUUGGAAUGAUACAGAGAAGAUUAGUAUGGCCCCCACACAACAUGACAUGCAAAUUCCAAAAGACUCCAUAUUUUC